CACACAUAACCAUACACACACACACACACAUAACCAUACACGUGAACACACACACACACAAAACCAUGGUUUUAUACAAAACCAUGUGUCAAACCGUGUGCCACAAACACACACACACACACACACCCUCAAUGUAUUUUUUUCUUUCUCUCGGAUAACACACACACACUUCUCCCUCAUUCCACACACACACACACGCACACACCCUCCAUCUACAGAGAUCGGAGAUCUCUCUUCUCCCAAACACACACACACACACACAGAGAUCGGAGAUCUCUCUUCUCCAUUCUCCGAUCUCUCUUCUCCCUUCUCCGAUCUCUCUUCUCCCAAACACCCACAUACAAAGAGAGAUCUCCGAUCUCUCUUCUCCCAAACACACACACACACACAGAGAUCUCUCGAUCUCUCUUCUCCCUUCGCCGUUGAUCGUGGCUCUGGCGAAGUCGGAGUUGGCUCAGUCGUCUCUGGCGGUGCGCCGCUGAGCAAGGAUCACGUUCAGUCAUCUGGUUCGUCUUCGUCUUCGUCAGGUUUUUAGGACGAAAUCGGCCCGGGAAUAGGCACACCGUCUCCGGCGUUCUUCUCCGACGUCGCCUCGGAGUCCGAUUGCACCAAACUCAAAAAAAUUUCGCCGAUAUUUCCAAAAUAUCGCGAUAUUAUCGAUAUUAUCGAUAAUAUCGCGAUAUUUGGCCGAAAACCAUUCGGAUACCACUUAGAAUAUCCAUCACCCGAAAAACCGAUAAUAUCGGCGAUAUUACGCCGAUAUUAUCGGCAUUUUCUUCCAUGGUUAUAACCAAUGGGCAUUUGCCCAUCCAUAAUCUCGAUUAGACAGUUCACACAGCUCCUGCAACAGGAAAUGAUGUCUUCAACAAGGUCAGAGGAAUUUGCCGCACAUCUCCGAAAACGUCGCUUAAAACGGAACUUGCAGUGGUUUCCCAUGUGAGGAUGAAGAGGAAGGCUCCGUUUGUGAGCUUUAGCCAACGACGAUGCCUGAAUCCCCUGAUUCCGUCGUUCUCUGCUACUCCAUCAUUGUCGUCGAUACGUUCAUCACAAGCACAAGAGCCAACUUCUCCAACGCACAUGGGCGCACGCAUGCCCAUUGCACUUCAACGACGACGGGGCGCCGAAACAGUGGCCCUGGGAGAUCCUGCACCAUCAGGUCAAGUCUUACUACACAAGUAGAGAUGAUGCUGGUGUUCGUCACAAAUGGGGCCGACAAGUUCAUGGUCUUAAGCCAUUCUUCCAUUUUCGGCAACGGCGUGCGAAGUGGAAACUGUUGUACACGGGUCGCUCAUCCCGACAGAGCAAUAAGGAUAUUCACAAUUCUGAUGUUGUCUCUCUUGUUGGAGAUCAGCCUUGGGUUCUGUUUUCCAGUUUACAAAGUAAUGCAAUGAAGAUGUUUGAUGGAAUGCCAAAAAGAAGAAUUAAGGACAGAAUGCCUAAUUUUCUCACCUUGGACCUUAUGGAACAAUUUAAGUCUGAUUUGGCUAUUAAUGAGUAUAUAAGCUGUGCUUUGAGAGCUUUAAGGGCAAUACAAAUGUUGAGGUUUCCAUUUGAGGAGGGAGGGGUUCUACGAGAACUAAAGAUUGUCGAGGCUUUGUUUAGGCAACUAUGUCAGUUGACAGAAACAAGUAUUAAAAUUGUUUCGGAUCAAUUGACCAUUGUGGACAUUACACUUUUGUCUCCUGUAAGUUUAAAGAUCACUCUCUUGGCUUUAGAAUGGAGCAAUUUACAUAUUAUAAGACCACCAAUCUUGAUUCUUACAGCAGUGUUUCUGCCCUUUGAAGAUUUUUCUAUUAUUUGUAGACAUUUCCAAAUAGUCUCAAGCAAGGAAAAUAUAGUGUACCACUUCAAGGUUAGUUAUACUGUUGACGUAAUGUUGAUGCCUCAUAUGACUCACACUCAUUUCCUUCCGUAUGAGGAUAUUAUUCUUACCUUGACAUUUGCAUAGUGGAGUUCAGAAGCUAUGAACUCAUGUAAGUUCAGGGCUACCUCUUUUCAUAAGAGUGCGUUACUAAAUAAUGAUUUUGCAUUGAUUGCCUUGUACCUGCACCUUAAGUCGGUUGAGAAAUUCAUGGAAAUAUUUUAGAACGUGUGGAUAAGCUGGAUAACACAACUUAUUGGUAUGCAUCACAAAGGUGCACUGAACAUGGAAUCUCUCAUUAAGUUGUAGAGGCUUUUACCAUUAACAGCAGUUAUGUUUAAGUACAUGAGUUCAUUGGCUGCUACCUAUAUUAUUUCUGAAAAUCAAAGACACGUUUGUCAUAUCUUUCACAUCGAUUCCAUUGUUCUGAUAACUGCUUUGGACAAGCAUUGUGAUAUUAAGGAGUUUGUAACAUGGGGCCACUUCAAUGCUACAUGUAAGAUCAACCUUGUGGCAGCCUUGUUUGUGUCUCUGAUGACUCAUAUUUGUUUAAUGGAGAGUGAGUUACCCAUUUCAAUCAGUCCAUAUUGCAAAUGGCUUGCUGCUGAAUUCUUUAAGGAAAAAAGGGAAAUUAUGAUAUAUGAUUGCCUGAGCAUAACUCUCAAGAUUGUUGGCAAAGAACUGCAAUCGCCAUUACAGAAAAUGUCAAAAGUUGUUCACACUUUUUCUUUAAUCGUUUCUGACCAGCUGGAUACUACUUUCAUGGAGAAAGUUGAUUAUGGUACACCAAUGGAAGUUUUUGCUAUUUGUAUCUAUGAAUGUGGAGCCAUUUUUCAGCAAGAAUUUUCUUAUGUUGUGAGACUUUUUGCUCUUCGCAAACUCAAUCUGGAUUUUUCUUCAAGGUAUUUCUCUGAUCUAAUUCCUUCAAUGGCUAGUGUGGAUGUUCAGCUUACAGUGUAUAGAAUUCGUCAUGAUUGAGCAUUACAAAUUCGUGGGCAUGCUUCUAACCCUAUUUUCACUACUAAGGGUAUCCACAUGUAGUUAUUUGCAUCAUUGUGGAUGAUGAUAAGGGAUCUCUUGACAUCAUUUUUCUUAAAGUUCCUGCACCGUUAAUUAUAUGGGAUAGUGAUGAUUCACACUAUGAGAAAUCUGGUAGGGUAGAAAUUCAAGAUUUAAGUUUUGUCAUGUAUGGUGGAGAAUGGAGACCAAUGCUUAGGGAAGUUCACUUAAUUGGGUGGUUGCUUGGCCACAUUAUUGCUUAUUUUCUUUGUUCAGCAAGACUGUUCAAAUUGUUGGUAGUAGAGAUAUAGAUACUAGACAAUUGAACUCAUGCCAACAAUGGCUUGACGACGUUGCUAUGUGGGAAAUAUCUCUUGCUGGGAGUGAAGUGGGUGCUGUUGCACCGAAGAUUUCCCCUUUCAAGCCUAUAACCACUAUUUUUGUUGGAACUAAUGAUGCCUUUGGAAUGUCUGAGGGAUAUGAUCUUCGGCAAUUUUUCAAAACUAUUCUGCCAGGACCAAGCAAGCUAAAUGGCUUACUGAAUGGUGAUGCACAAGAAUAUGUGGGUGAUUGGCAACACAAACAAGAGGGAGUGGGAGUUGAUACUUGGAAUGAGUUAACAUUUAAUGAUGACCAUGUGAGCAAUGUAUCCAGAUCUACAGUGGGAAAUGAGUUGACAUUUGUUAUCUCAGUUUACAAGAAUGGUGCAAUAUCAGUAAGUGAUACAAGGAGUGCGAAACAGUUCCUGGGUGUCAUUCCUUUCCUUGGUAUUGGGUGGCUCUUCAAUGUCAUCACCCGCAUUAUACUAUCGCACUCCAUUUGACAAUUUUUGGCACUUCCAUACAUAAGCUACUACUGGAGAUGUGCAUGGUAUAGUUUGAAAAUUGGCUGCUUUCUUUCCCAAACUGCUCCAUGCUUCUUUCACAGUUUGAGAGGCUUGAGGACAAGCCUCAUGUGAAGGGGGAUGGAUUGAUGCAACUCUAUGCUAUUGAGCUUCGGUUAUAACUAGUUAGAUCACCUAUUGUUAUUACUAUCCUUUAGGCCCAUUACAUAGGUAAUACCAUUAGGCCUGUCUACACUUCAAACCCUACUAUCUUUGAAUGUAUUUAAACUUCUUUUCUUAUGUAAAGAGGACUAUGAAUGAAGAUAUGAAUUUACUUUGAUUUCUUUUC